CAAAGUCAAGUAUUUAUGGGAAACAUUCAAAUCAGUAAGAACCAAGGAACCAAAACCGGGACAUCUGAGCCAAGAAAGACAACAGAGGGGAAACCAUGAUCACAAUCACUGAGUUUCAGAAAAUCGGUGUGGGUCUGUCAGGAUUCGGCAUGUUCUUUGUGCUGUUUGGAAUACUGCUGUACUUUGACUCGGUCCUGUUGGCGUUUGGUAAUAUUCUGUUUCUGUCUGGUCUGGCCUUCAUCAUUGGCUUGAGGAGGACAGUCCACUUCUUUUUCCAGAGAGAGAAGCUCAGAAGCUCCGCCUUCUUUCUAGGAGGCGUGGCUUUAGUUCUACUAAGAUGGCCUCGUAUCGGCAUGCUAGUGGAGACCUAUGGCUUUGUGCUUCUAUUUAAGUCAUUCUUUCCAAUGGCUUUUGGAUUUCUCUCAACAGUCUUGAACAUUCCCUUUUUAAAUACGAUUUUAAACAAGUUAUCUGGAAGUAGUUCCUCAAUGGUGUGAUGGCAGAUGUUGGACAUCUGGAUGUGCUGCUGCAGUGCACUGUUCAAAUUUUAGAUUUUUUUCAUAUAAUAGAUAGAUAUAACA